GAAUAGCUUCGACAGGCGGCGUUUCUGCAACGGUCGCAGGCCCUGGGUGGCUGGAGCCAGGAUAAAAACCGGCUAAACAACAAAUGCCAACUCACAGUUGGCCUGGGCCACUGCCUAACACGCAGUGAGCACACGUCGGUCCCCGACACCUGCUAGGGGGCAGCCGGCGUCAUCAGCAGGCUGGAGGUCCUCCCGCUGGCACCGUCGGAGGGGGCCUCGAGACAAGAACGGGGCUAGUCCGGGAGUACCAGUCCGCAGGUUUCCCCCGGAUGAAGCUCAAGGCGGACUAAGCCUGUAGUGACCUUGCCGGGCGUCGUUUGGACGCGGGUGCGAAUCCCGCCACCUCCACCA
rnacentral:tmRNA from 1 species